UGGCGAUUUCAAGCGGUAUCUAGC
rnacentral:siRNA from 1 species